GACGAACCGUACGAACGUUAUUCGGAAUCACUGGGCUUAAAGGGUGCGUAGGCGGCGCGGAAAGUAGGGUGUGAAAUCCCUCGGCUCAACCGAGGAACUGCGCCCUAAACUACCGUGCUCGAGGGAGAUAGAGGUGAGCGGAACUUAGGGUGGAGCGGUGAAAUGCGUUGAUAUCCUAAGGAACACCGGUGGCGAAAGCGGCUCACUGGAUCUCUUCUGACGCUGAGGCACGAAAGCUAGGGUAGCGAACGGG
rnacentral:rRNA from 1 species